GAAUUGGGAAUUCUUACACAGCCUGGAGAAGGAAACGUUGCCUGCAAGGAGAAAAUUUUACAAGUUGACUGGGCCCUGGACACCCAAGACAGACACAUAGAUAUCCAGGUUAAAGAUGAUUCUGCAAAGAAAAACAAUGUGUGUUGGACAGCAAUACAGCAAAUGUGGUGAAAUGUUAACAAUUAUUAAAUCUAUGUAAAAGGUUUACAGGUA